AGAGUUUGAUCCUGGCUCAGGAUGAACGCUAGCGGCAGGCUUAACACAUGCAAGUCGAGGGGUAACAGAGGUAGCUUGCUACUUGCUGACGACCGGCGCACGGGUGCGUAACGCGUAUACAAUCUGCCUUAUACAGAGGGAUAGCCUUUAGAAAUGAAGAUUAAUACCUCAUGGUCUAUUAAUAUAGCAUUAUAUAAAUAGUAAAGCUUCGGCGGUAUAAGAUGAGUAUGCGUCCUAUUAGUUAGUUGGUAAGGUAACGGCUUACCAAGACAACGAUAGGUAGGGGCCCUGAGAGGGGGAUCCCCCACACUGGUACUGAGACACGGACCAGACUCCUACGGGAGGCAGCAGUGAGGAAUAUUGGACAAUGGAGGUAACUCUGAUCCAGCCAUGCCGCGUGCAGGAAGACGGCCCUAUGGGUUGUAAACUGCUUUUAUAUAGGAAGAAACCUUUUCACGUGUGAGAAGCUGACGGUACUAUAAGAAUAAGGACCGGCUAACUCCGUGCCAGCAGCCGCGGUAAUACGGAGGGUCCGAGCGUUAUCCGGAAUCAUUGGGUUUAAAGGGUCCGUAGGCGGGAAUCUAAGUCAGUGGUGAAAUCUUACAGCUCAACUGUAAAAUUGCCAUUGAUACUGGGUUUCUUGAAUUAGUGUGAAGUGAUUAGAAUGUGUAGUGUAGCGGUGAAAUGCAUAGAUAUUACACAGAAUACCAAUUGCGAAGGCAGAUCACUAACACUAUAUUGACGCUGAGGGACGAAAGCGUGGGGAGCGAACAGGAUUAGAUACCCUGGUAGUCCACGCCGUAAACGAUGGAUACUAGCUGUUCGA
rnacentral:rRNA from 1 species